GCUUAUCCUACGCCCACGCGGUUCAUGGAAAAUUUUAAGCAUGUGCAUUUAGUUGGUCAGAGUCUCUCAAAUAAAUCAGAUCGUUCUUGGAGUAAAUAAAAUCGUACACUUAAAACACGUGAUAAUUUUUGCACAUGCCAAAUAAAUAUAAAAAGGCAAUUUUAAUCAAAGUGCGUUACAAAAAUAUUAAGUGCAUAAUAGAAAACCGAUCAAGAGACGUAGGAAGAACCUAACUUGGCAAAACAUAUAUCUGUGCAGUUUCAGGAUUUGUGGUUGGAUUUAAAUCCACCAAUUAAUGAAACUGCACCUUCUGACGAAGCACCACAAAAUAAUUUAGCUGUUAAGCUGGCCAAGCGACGUUCAACCUGAUCAACUAAAAACUCACAGCAGCGCAGCGUAAAGGAAAUAACUUGGAUGAGAAUUAAAACUAUAUAUACUGGAC